GGAGGGGUGGCCGAGCGGUUGAAGGCGCCGGUCUCGAAAACCGGUAUACGUUAACGCGUAUCGUGGGUUCGAAUCCCACCCCCUCCGCCA
rnacentral:tRNA from 1 species